CACUAUUAAAAUAGUAACGAUGAGUAAAUAACGCAAAUAGCCCGUUUGGCCACUCGCCAGUGUGGCGGCCCAUUGUUUUGGACUUUUACACAUACUAUUAUGUCAUGGACUAUACAAUAAUGUACACUAUAUUCAGCGUAUAUAAACAGUUACAUUGAUAAAUAAUGGCAAUAAAAGGCGUGGGAACUCGAAAUCGGAGUAGAAUGCAAAUGGGAAAAAAUGUUGAAGAAGGGCCAAUUUCAUGGUUGUAGCUGGCAAAGAACAACCUACGCGCAUGGCAAAAGUUGGAUUGUGUAUUGCAACAUUUUCCAAAAAGAACAAAGAGUACCUCAGUGAUAUACGGAUACGGAUGCACAAUAAUUAUGAUGAUCAGAAAAAGAAAUACGAAAGACAUAAUAUUAUUUUCGAGAUCACGUGUGGUGUUCCGAUAUAGGUAUAGCCUUGGAGAUAUUGUUUAAAGAAAUUUUCAUAGGUUCAUAUGUAUACCAUAAUACGUGAUGUCCAUUGUGUAUCUACCGGAAAUAUAGAACCAAACAGAGUCAAAAUAACCGGGAACCCAACACAAGUGGAAAUGGAAUUUCGAUUUCGAUCUUCAGCUCUCCCUUUCCCGAACUGUGCUGCACACGACUUUAUCAAUGUCACUGCAUAAAACAAUCACAUAAAAUAUAAAUUAAUAUACGUA
rnacentral:lncRNA from 1 species